rnacentral:misc_RNA from 1 species
GAAAUGCGAUAAUUAAUGUGAAUUGCAGAAUUCAGUGAAUCACCGAGUCUUUGAACGCACAUUGCGCCCCCUGGUAUUCCGGGGGGCAUGCCUGUCCGAGCGUCAUUGCUGCCCUCAAGCACGGCUUGUGUGUUGGGCUUCCGUCCCUGGCAACGGGGACGGGCCCAAAAGGCAGUGGCGGCACCAUGUCUGGUCCUCGAGCGUAUGGGGCUUUGUCACCCGCUCCCGUAGGUCCAGCUGGCAGCUAGCCUCGCAACCAAUCUUUUUAACCAGGUUGACCUCGGAUCAGGUAGGGAUACCCGCUGAACUUAAGC